rnacentral:lncRNA from 1 species
GCAGCAGGCUGUUGGGAACGGCAUCCACAGCGUGGAUCUCGGCGUCUUCAGCACAUGGCUGCGGCUCGGGGCUCGGCGUGUUUCCCAGCUCCGGCGAUCCGCCGAGAGACUCUCUCCGGCAACGCAGCGACUCUCAAAGGGGCCGCUCUCUCCGCCGCUGUCAGGUGGUCAAAUCUAUCUGUCUCUCCCACCUCGCUCUCUCGCUCGCUCGCUCUCUCUCUCGCUCUCUCGCUCUCGCUGCGGUGAUGCUGGGAGUGCUCCAAGCACACAAAAAUCUCGAGCACCCCAGCGGCGCCGUUGUGAUUAAAGCUCCUAACCGCAAGCAAACCUGGAUUUUAUAGUGGUGUGUAGGUGGGCACGAUGGAACACAACCACACACUCGCAAAGUCACCCCCACCCACACACGGAUGUGCUCCCCCAGAGUUCACCUGUCAGUCAACCGGCAGCUGGCUGGCAUCAGGACGUACCUAACAGAAGCAUCACGGCUGGACGCGGAGAGCAGAGACGGCGAGGGCUGCACCGCAGGCGGACGGAGAGCAACAGACGACAUGGACGUGCCAGGCGGAGGUCGUGACGAUGCAUCCGGGGAAAUGAAGGCACGACGUGGAGCUGCUGUUGCAUGCCGGGCGAUUGCUGCUCUCUUCAUCUCCUGACAAGAGUCCCGACCUCGCUGACACAUCGGACAAAGGGCGCACCUAUCCAGUGCGUGCUAGUAGCUCACUUCUGCAAAAAGACAAAAAUGUCUCUUUCUCUCUUUGUGGAGAGAGAUGGGGUUCAAUAUCUAUAAUCAAUAAUGUAACAACAGCCACUUCUCGCUUUCCUUCAGAUUUUUCUACCUUUUACAGCAUUUGCCUACAGUGUUUACUGGGAUUUCAGCAUUUAAAAAAAAACUUAAAAGAAGUAAAGUCUUAUUUUUCAUUUAGCAACAUUUUUCUCCAAAGCAACUUACAAUAGAUACUAUGUAGUGUUACUAGCCCACACACCGUCUUCUCCAAGGUGACUUACACUGCUAGAUACACUACUUACACUGGGUCGCUCAUCCAUACAUCAGUGGAACACACUCUCUAUGUGUCACUCACACACUAUGGGGGAACCUGAAUAGCACAUCUUUGGAGUGUGGGAGGAAACUGGAGCACCCAGAGGAAACCCACGCCGACACAGGGAGAACAUGCAAACCCCACACAGACUGAGCGAGGCUCAAACCCACAUUCUCUCGCACGACCCAUGGACUGUGAGACGGCCGCGCUACUCACUGUGUCACCGUGCCACCCCAAUUUCAAAGCUUUAUAAUUUUGGCUGACAUCUGAUGACUGUAAGAACCUCCAUGGAACAACCAUUAAAAUUCAGAUUACUGUUAGAGUUAUUUUUUGACUUUAAGGGUUUUAAACAACCUUCUGCAAUACAUCUAUAAAUCCAGGGUAAGUGAU